rnacentral:rRNA from 1 species
GAGUGGCGAACGGGUGAGUAACACGUGGGUAACCUGCCCAUCAGAAGGGGAUAACACUUGGAAACAGGUGCUAAUACCGUAUAACAAUCGAAACCGCAUGGUUUCGUUUUGAAAGGCGCUUUACGGUGCCGCUGAUGGAUGGACCCGCGGUGCAUUAGCUAGUUGGUGAGGUAACGGCUCACCAAGGCCACGAUGCAUAGCCGACCUGAGAGGGUGAUCGGCCACAUUGGGACUGAGACACGGCCCAAACUCCUACGGGAGGCAGCAGUAGGGAAUCUUCGGCAAUGGACGAAAGUCUGACCGAGCAACGCCGCGUGAGUGAAGAAGGUUUUCGGAUCGUAAAACUCUGUUGUUAGAGAAGAACAAGGGUGAGAGUAACUGUUCACCCCUUGACGGUAUCUAACCAGAAAGCCACGGCUAACUACGUGCCAGCAGCCGCGGUAAUACGUAGGUGGCAAGCGUUGUCCGGAUUUAUUGGGCGUAAAGCGAGCGCAGGCGGUUUCUUAAGUCUGAUGUGAAAGCCCCCGGCUCAACCGGGGAGGGUCAUUGGAAACUGGGAGACUUGAGUGCAGAAGAGGAGAGUGGAAUUCCAUGUGUAGCGGUGAAAUGCGUAGAUAUAUGGAGGAACACCAGUGGCGAAGGCGGCUCUCUGGUCUGUAACUGACGCUGAGGCUCGAAAGCGUGGGGAGCAAACAGGAUUAGAUACCCUGGUAGUCCACGCCGUAAACGAUGAGUGCUAAGUGUUGGAGGGUUUCCGCCCUUCAGUGCUGCAGCUAACGCAUUAAGCACUCCGCCUGGGGAGUACGACCGCAAGGUUGAAACUCAAAGGAAUUGACGGGGGCCCGCACAAGCGGUGGAGCAUGUGGUUUAAUUCGAAGCAACGCGAAGAACCUUACCAGGUCUUGACAUCCUUUGACCACUCUAGAGAUAGAGCUUCCCCUUCGGGGGCAAAGUGACAGGUGGUGCAUGGUUGUCGUCAGCUCGUGUCGUGAGAUGUUGGGUUAAGUCCCGCAACGAGCGCAACCCUUAUUGUUAGUUGCCAUCAUUUAGUUGGGCACUCUAGCAAGACUGCCGGUGACAAACCGGAGGAAGGUGGGGAUGACGUCAAAUCAUCAUGCCCCUUAUGACCUGGGCUACACACGUGCUACAAUGGGAAGUACAACGAGUCGCGAAGUCGCGAGGCUAAGCUAAUCUCUUAAAGCUUCUCUCAGUUCGGAUUGUAGGCUGCAACUCGCCUACAUGAAGCCGGAAUCGCUAGUAAUCGCGGAUCAGCACGCCGCGGUGAAUACGUUCCCGGGCCUUGUACACACCGCCCGUCACACCACGAGAGUUUGUAACACCCGAAGUCGGUGAGGUAACCUUUUUGGAGCCAGCCGCCUAAGGUGGGAUAGAUGAUUGGGGUGAAGUCGUAACAAGGUAGCCGUAUCGGAAGGUGCGGCUGGAUCACCUCCUUUCUAAGGAA